GUAACGUCAUCUAAAUAACAUGCUGUGUGGCUACUGAAAUAUCCAUUGCCUCAGAUUUCACCCAUGUGAAGCAUUUGAGGAGAGAACAAAACACAGAGCAUCAAGUCCUAGUCAGAGUCAUUUUAGCCUCAAGAUCCACAACAGGGAGGUUUUCAACUGAGACAGAAAUCGCUGGCAAGGGUUUUCAUGACAAUGAGACAUGUCUGCUCCUGGCUGUUUUUGCUUCUAAGAGAAAGAUUGGCAUCGAAGAAUCUCCUUAUGGAAUUUGAUAGCCAUUUGGGAAGAAACUGCUCUUGCCUGGACUAUUGCAUAAACUGGACACAGAGAACCCACAGAGAGAGGACUGC